CAAAAAGUAGCUUAUUAAAGCACCCAGCUUACAACUAGGAGAUGUCCAUAAUAAAAGACCUUUUUGA
rnacentral:tRNA from 1 species